rnacentral:rRNA from 1 species
AACUUUCAACAACGGAUCUCUUGGCUCUCGUAUCGAUGAAGAACGCAGCGAAAUGCGAUAAGUAAUGUGAAUUGCAGAAUUCAGUGAAUCAUCGAAUCUUUGAACGCACAUUGCGCCUCUUGGUAUUCCUUGAGGCAUGCCUGUUCGAGCGUC